rnacentral:rRNA from 1 species
UACGUAUGGUGCAAGCGUUAUCCGGAUUUACUGGGCGUAAAGGGAGCGCAGGCGGCGCGCCAAGUCUGAUGUGAAACCCCGGGGCUCAACCCCGGGCAUGCAUUGGAAACUGGCGGGCUGGAGUGCCGGAGAGGUAAGCGGAACUCCUAGUGUAGCGGUGAAAUGCGUAGAUAUUAGGAGGAACACCAGUGGCGAAGGCGGCUUACUGGACGGCAACUGACGCUGAGGCUCGAAAGCGUGGGGAGCAAACAGG